UACAGAGGGUGCAAGCGUUGCUCGGAUUUACUGGGCGUAAAGCGUGCGCAGACGGCAAGGCAGGUCGGAUGUGAAAGCCCCGGGCUCAACCCGGGAAUUGCAUUCGAAACCAUCUCGCUCGAGUGUGGAAGAGGGAAGCAGAAUUCCCGGUGUAGAGGUGAAAUUCGUAGAUAUCGGGAGGAAUACCAGCGGCGAAGGCGGCUUCCUGGUCCAUUACUGACGUUCAGGCACGAAAGCGUGGGUAGCAAACAGG
rnacentral:rRNA from 1 species